rnacentral:rRNA from 1 species
GAAGGUGUACUGUGAGGUAUGCUGGAGGUAUCAGAAGUGCGAAUGCUGACAUAAGUAACGAUAAAGCGGGUGAAAAGCCCGCUCGCCGGAAGACCAAGGGUUCCUGUCCAACGUUAAUCGGGGCAGGGUGAGUCGACCCCUAAGGCGAGGCCGAAAGGCGUAGUCGAUGGGAAACAGGUUAAUAUUCCUGUACUUGGUGUUACUGCGAAGGGGGGACGGAGAAGGCUAUGUUGGCCGGGCGACGGUUGUCCCGGUUUAAGCGUGUAGGCUGGUUUUCCAGGCAAAUCCGGAAAAUCAAGGCUGAGGCGUGAUGACGAGGCACUACGGUGCUGAAGCAACAAAUGCCCUGCUUCCAGGAAAAGCCUCUAAGCAUCAGGUAACAUCAAAUCGUACCCCAAACCGACACAGGUGGUCAGGUAGAGAAUACCAAGGCGCUUGAGAGAACUCGGGUGAAGGAACUAGGCAAAAUGGUGCCGUAACUUCGGGAGAAGGCACGCUGAUAUGUAGGUGAAGCGACUUGCUCGUGGAGCUGAAAUCAGUCGAAGAUACCAGCUGGCUGCAACUGUUUAUUAAAAACACAGCACUGUGCAAACACGAAAGUGGACGUAUACGGUGUGACGCCUGCCCGGUGCCGGAAGGUUAAUUGAUGGGGUUAGCGGUAACGCGAAGCUCUUGAUCGAAGCCCCGGUAAACGGCGGCCGUAACUAUAACGGUCCUAAGGUAGCGAAAUUCCUUGUCGGGUAAGUUCCGACCUGCACGAAUGGCGUAAUGAUGGCCAGGCUGUCUCCACCCGAGACUCAGUGAAAUUGAACUCGCUGUGAAGAUGCAGUGUACCCGCGGCAAGACGGAAAGACCCCGUGAACCUUUACUAUAGCUUGACACUGAACAUUGAGCCUUGAUGUGUAGGAUAGGUGGGAGGCUUUGAAGUGUGGACGCCAGUCUGCAUGGAGCCGACCUUGAAAUACCACCCUUUAAUGUUUGAUGUUCUAACGUUGGCCCGUUAUCCGGGUUGCGGACAGUGUCUGGUGGGUAGUUUGACUGGGGCGGUCUCCUCCUAAAGAGUAACGGAGGAGCACGAAGGUUGGCUAAUCCUGGUCGGACAUCAGGAGGUUAGUGCAAUGGCAUAAGCCAGCUUGACUGCGAGCGUGACGGCGCGAGCAGGUGCGAAAGCAGGUCAUAGUGAUCCGGUGGUUCUGAAUGGAAGGGCCAUCGCUCAACGGAUAAAAGGUACUCCGGGGAUAACAGGCUGAUACCGCCCAAGAGUUCAUAUCGACGGCGGUGUUUGGCACCUCGAUGUCGGCUCAUCACAUCCUGGGGCUGAAGUAGGUCCCAAGGGUAUGGCUGUUCGCCAUUUAAAGUGGUACGCGAGCUGGGUUUAGAACGUCGUGAGACAGUUCGGUCCCUAUCUGCCGUGGGCGCUGGAGAACUGAGGGGGGCUGCUCCUAGUACGAGAGGACCGGAGUGGACGCAUCACUGGUGUUCGGGUUGUCAUGCCAAUGGCACUGCCCGGUAGCUAAAUGCGGAAGAGAUAAGUGCUGAAAGCAUCUAAGCACGAAACUUGCCCCGAGAUGAGUUCUCCCUGACUCCCUGAGAGUCCUGAAGGAACGUUGAAGACGACGACGUUGAUAGGCCGGGUGUGUAAGCGCAGCGAUGCGUUGAGCUAACCGGUACUAAUGAACCGUGAGGCUUAACCUUACAACGCCGAAGGUGUUU